UACGGAAGGUCCGGGCGUUAUCCGGAUUUAUUGGGUUUAAAGGGAGCGCAGGCUGUUUUUUAAGCGUGACGUGAAAUGUACGGGCUCAACCGGUGCAGUGCGUCGCGAACUGGGAGACUUGAGUACGCACGAGGCCGGCGGAAUUCGUGGUGUAGCGGUGAAAUGCUUAGAUAUCACGAAGAACUCCGAUUGCGAAGGCAGCCGGCCAGGGCGCAACUGACGCUAAAGCUCGAAAGUGCGGGUAUCGAAC
rnacentral:rRNA from 1 species